rnacentral:rRNA from 1 species
AUGAACGCUGGCGGCGUGCCUAAUACAUGCAAGUCGAGCGAACGGACGAGAAGCUUGCUUCUCUGAUGUUAGCGGCGGACGGGUGAGUAACACGUGGAUAACCUACCUAUAAGACUGGGAUAACUUCGGGAAACCGGAGCUAAUACCGGAUAAUAUUUUGAACCGCAUGGUUCAAAAGUGAAAGACGGUCUUGCUGUCACUUAUAGAUGGAUCCGCGCUGCAUUAGCUAGUUGGUAAGGUAACGGCUUACCAAGGCAACGAUGCAUAGCCGGCCUGAGAGGGUGAUCGGCCACACUGGAACUGAGACACGGUCCAGACUCCUACGGGAGGCAGCAGUAGGGAAUCUUCCGCAAUGGGCGAAAGCCUGACGGAGCAACGCCGCGUGAGUGAUGAAGGUCUUCGGAUCGUAAAACUCUGUUAUUAGGGAAGAACAUAUGUGUAAGUAACUGUGCACAUCUUGACGGUACCUAAUCAGAAAGCCACGGCUAACUACGUG